rnacentral:lncRNA from 1 species
UCUGGGUACUGUAGUUUUGGGAGGGAGCGUCACAGGGAUGAUUCUGGGCAAUGGGCGGUAGCGGCUAAGGCUUCUGGUUAUGGUAGUUCUGUGAUUGGGGCAUGCAGAAUCUUCUGGGUAAUGUAGUCUGUGAGGUCCCUCCCAGGGUUCUGGGUAAUGUAGUUCUGAUUGGGAUACGCAGAGUCUUUUGGGUACUGUAGUCCUCGGUGUGGACUGUCAGGCCAAGAAUUCUGGGUACUGUAGUUGGGGGUGCACACCGGGGCUUUUCGGCUGGGUUAUGACGUGCAAGAUUCUGUAUACGUGCUGCCGAAGCAAGCACAUCGUGGAAGAUUCUGUGACCUCUGGUGAGCAAGGCUGUGGAGUCAGCAGGUGUUGUUACCAACCUCCUUCUGUCAGUUGCCCUGGUGAGCUAGACUAAAAAAAAGGCUGAGAAGACCAGGCUGGCCGAGCGUUGCUGACCGGCCCCAGGGCGCCCACACCUGAGAGGUGUCUGGACAGAGCUUCUUCAGCUCGCGUGACCCUCCCUGCUGGGCCCAAUCCUGGCGUUUCUGGGCUACGCCCCGCCUUCUCCGGAACCCAGGCCUACCCCCUGCUGUGAGAAGCCUCCAUCCUUGGCCUCGGCCCUCCUCCAGGACUCAGUCUCCUGCCAAGCCUGCCCUAGGCGUCCCUCAGGCUGAACAGCAGGAGAGUGAGGUGCAGCAGGUUGGUGUUAGAGAAGAUGAUGAUGAGGAGCCUGAUGAGGAUGAUGAUGACAUUGUAUUUACAAAAGAUGCGGAAGAGAUGAGUGAGGAAGAUGAGCAGGAAAUUGAUGCAGUUGAGCGCCUGAGAAGUGAAGUGGGAGAAAUAUUUGAAACAGAUCUGAAUAAUUUACAAAUGAUACACGUUAUGACUUUUCCUUCAUUUUUCAUAAUUCAAAAUGCAACAUUUGAGCAUGAAACCAAGGCAAACUGGCUAAUGCCUUAUUUCAAGAUUACAUUUCAAAAGAAGCGCAUAUUUUAGGGCUCUGUUUCCUUUGUCAGUACCACUUAAUAAUGAAAACCAUUCCAUAAAUCAAGAGCAACUGUGAGCCCUCACAGGGUCAGAGGAGGGUUAGCUGCCAGCACUUAGCCACUUGGUGGCUGAAAAAGACCAGUUACACUGAAGUGGUCACCAGAAGUGUCUAUGUGCUGUGCAUGAAUGACUUUUUUCCCACCAGAUAUAUUAGGUUCUAUGAUUUUUCUCAUUAGUAAGAAUUUGAGAAGUUUUUGAUACCAAUAAUUUCUGUACAUGGAGCUCAGAAAAUCCACAUGGUACAAUAUACAUUGAAUAUGAAACUGGUGGGUGCGUGAGUUUGUUUGAGACAUGUGAUGCAGUAUCAGCACACCUUGCCCAGAAAAUGCUUGCCUUUACCUACAAGUAUACAAGCUCAUUUGGCUACUGGGACUCUGUAAAGGUAAUUUCAUCAAAUGUAUCUGAAAACCAUACUC